UACGGGGGGGGGCAAGCGUUGUUCGGAAUUACUGGGCGUAAAGGGCGCGUAGGCGGCCUACUAAGUCGGACGUGAAAUCCCUCGGCUCAACCGGGGAACUGCGUCCGAUACUGGUGGGCUUGAAUCCGGGAGAGGGAUGUGGAAUUCCAGGUGUAGCGGUGAAAUGCGCAGAUAUCAGGAGGAACACCGGUGGCGAAGGCGGGGUCUCUGGGCCGGAUACUGACGCUGGAGGAGCGAAAGCGUGGGGAGCGAACAGG
rnacentral:rRNA from 1 species